UUAUCUUUCCUAUGGGACCAAAAUCUCCUAAAUAUGAUUAAGUAUGUGCACACAAGUUUACUUAAUGUUACUUUCUAGCAUUUGUUGUUUGAAUAUUAAUUCUUCUCAUGUUUUGACAGUCUCCAUCACACAUUUGCCUUUGAAUACGACAGCAGGAAUCACUUCAGAGGACAUUGACUGGAAUGACCAUAAUUAUCAGGAAAUCAGCGAGUUUCAGUGCAAGAACAAACACACCACCACCAUCUACACUACAGCAGAAACUCCAGAUGAUCCAAUGAUCUACUCCACUGUAGAUAGACCAGAUGAUCUGAUUAUCUACUACACUGCAAAUAAACCAGAUGAUCCAAUGAUCUACUCCACUCCAGAUACUCCAGAUGAUCAAUGAUCUACUCCACUGUAGAUAGACCAGAUGAUCUGAUUAUCUACUACACUGCAAAUAAACCAGAUGAUCCAAUGAUCUACUCCACUCCAGAUACUCCAGAUGAUCAAUGAUCUACUCCACUGCAGAUAAACCAGAUGAUCAAUGAUCUACUCCACUGUAGAUAGACCAGAUGAUUCAAUGAUCUACUACACUGCAGAUAAACCAGAUGAUCAAUGAUCUACUCCACUGCAGAUAAACCAGAUGAUCAAUGAUCUACUCCACUGCAGAUAAACCAGAUGAUCAAUGAUCUACUCCACUGUAGAUAAACCAGAUGAUUCAAUGAUCUACUCCACUGUAGAUAAACCAGAUGAUCAAUGAUCUACUCCACUGCAGAUAAACCAGAUGAUCAAUGAUCUACUCCACUGUAGAUAAACCAGAUGAUUCAAUGAUCUACUCCACUGUAGAUAAACCAGAUGAUCAAUGAUCUACUCCACUGCAGAUAAACCAGAUGAUUCAAUGAUCUACUCCACUGUAGAUAAACCAGAUGAUCAAUGAUCUACUCCACUGUAGAUAAACCAGAUGAUCAAUGAUCUACUCCACUGUAGAUAAACCAGAUGAUUCAAUGAUCUACUCCACUGUAGAUAAACCAGAUGAUCAAUGAUCUACUCCACUGCAGAUAAACCAGAUGAUCAAUGAUCUACUCCACUGCAGAUAAACCAGAUGAUCAAUGAUCUACUCCACUGUAGAUAAACCAGAUGAUCAAUGAUCUACUACACUGCAGAUAAACCAGAUGAUCAAUGAUCUACUACACUGCAGAUAAACCAGAUGAUCAAUGAUCUACUCCACUGCAGAUAAACCAGAUGAUCAAUGAUCUACUCCACUGUAGAUAGACCAGAUGAUUCAAUGAUCUACUACACUGCAGAUAAACCAGAUGAUCAAUGAUCUACUCCACUGCAGAUAAACCAGAUGAUCAAUGAUCUACUCCACUGCAGAUAAACCAGAUGAUCCAAUGAUCUACUCCACUGUAGAUAAACCAGAUGAUUCAAUGAUCUACUCCACUGCAGAUAAACCAGAUGAUCCAAUGAUCUACUCCACUGCAGAUACUCCAGAUGAUCAAUGAUAUACUCCACUGUAGAUAAACCAGAUGAUCCAAUGAUCUGUGUCUCUCAUCAUCUUAAUGGAGUGGAAUCUAAAGCCACAAUGCCAUGUGACGGGACAAAAAAAAGAAAAAAAGAAAGAAAUCAUUGGAUACAUCAGGCUUUAAAUGAGGAAUCAUAAUGUCCUCAUCUGCUUGAUUUGUGGAAUAUAGACAGUCAGUCCAUAUCUACGUUCUAGCUUUUGACUAUAGUAAAUUUAAUAAAUUCAUUCUUUUUCUAUUAUAUUGUUUGUUACACAAUGAGCAGUAACAAAAGUUGUAUAUUAUGCACAUUACAUGUGUUAUUUGUUUAUUUAUGUGAAAUACACUGUUGUGUCGUAUCAGGGAUAUAGCUCAAUGAACUUAAUUAAACAAGUUAAUUAAACAGUGAUGUUUAUGGCAGUUGUCUUACACUGGAGUGACACACAAUGAAAUGUUUCGACUUAUUAAAUGACCAGGAAAUAGACACAGAGAGACAAAACAAACAAACAAACAAACAAACAAACAAACACAAAAGAGCUUCACAGCUUGACAAAGGCCUCAUCUGUGUAAAACAAGAUCUGGAUUCAAGUCAUAAUAAAGAUGAACUUUCAGUUUAUGGAUAAUUAUGUUCUCAUGUAUUAUUAAUGAAUAUCAAUAUUGUUAUUUUUAAGGGAAAAGUCUGUUCAACAGUUUCACUUCUGCUUUAGUAGUUUUUGGCUUUUUACGUGUUUCUUUAUAUUUAUGACAUUCUCUUCUGGUAAAUGUAUCUUCUGAUUGAUUGAAUAAAUGAAAUAUAUUUAAAUUUAACUCUAUGAAGUGAAUGAUCAAGCAUGCUGUAAAGUGUGAGUGUGUUUCUGUAGUUUCUGCAGAACUGAAUUAAUCCAUGAAUAGAGGAUGUGGAAAUGGAGGCUUUACUUUGAAUACGGGAAACGGGAAGUAAAGUGAAAUUGUGGGAAGUGUGUUCAGUUACUAAUAAUAGUUUAUUCAUUCAGAGGCCGCGAGUGACAAAGAGGAACUCAUGACACAUGAAGCUCACAGAAGGAGAAAUAAGCUUGUCUUCAUCAACAAAACUGAUAUGUCAACAGUUCUGAUUUCUUCUGUAAAUUUUGCUCUUUUUUGUUGAUGUUUCAAGUCUGAACUUGUGACACAGAACGGCAAAAGACAAAAGAGGAGGAAGUUUGCAUCUCAUCAUAAUUAUGACAAAAACGCAACCAGAACCAACCUGAAACACACGAGAGCUUCAGAAGAACUGAAUCUACUGAUAACAGAGAAGAUCAUUUAAUAAGAGAGAAGAAUGAAGAUCAUCUCGACUUUCACUCUGCUGAUGAUUCCUGGUGUUGUGAGCUCCAUCAGUGUGACAGGAUAUCCAGGAGCUGAAGUCAACAUCACAUGCAAAUAUGAUAAAGAGUAUACACUGAAUAUAAAGUAUUUUUGUAAAGGUCGGUGGGCAACAUGCUCUGACCGCAUCAGAAGUGAUAAGAAAGAUAAAUGGGUUCAUUCUGGAAGAUUCUCUCUGUAUGACAGCACAAGAUCAGCAGCUUUCUAUGUGACCAUCAGAAAUCUGAGUCAGUGGGAUUCUGGAACAUACUAUUGUGCGGUCGAUAAAUAUGGGAUAGAUUUCCACACCGAAGUGAAGCUGAAAGUUGAAACAGGUCAGUAACUGAAAUGCAUUUAACCCUUAUUUUGACCAUGACCAUCACA